rnacentral:lncRNA from 1 species
AGAAAACAACUUACCAUUUCGAACCCAUGUCUAGUAGGCCAAUCCUCCUUUAACCUAAACCUUCGUCAUCAGUCCCAGGCCAGGAUAUAGUAGCCUGGUCCUAACCUCCAGUCCUCAGUCCCAGGACAUAGUAGCCUGGUUCUAACCUCCAGUCCUCAGUCCCAGGAUAUAGUAGCCUGGUCCUAACCUCCAGUCCUCAGCCCCAGGCCAGGAUAUAGUAGCCUGGUCCUAACCUCCAGUCCUCA